rnacentral:tRNA from 1 species
AAGAAAUGGGGAUCAUUUUUAAGCCGCUAACUUACAAAAUUAUUGGUUAAACUCCUAUAAUUUCUUU